GACAGAGGGUGCAAACGUUGUUCGGAAUUACUGGGCGUAAAGAGCGUGUAGGCGGCCCGAUUAGUCCGCUGUGAAAGUCCAGGGCUCAACCCUGGAAUGCCGGUGGAUACUGUCGGGCUAGAGUCCGGAAGGGGCGAGUGGAAUUCCUGGUGUAGCGGUGAAAUGCGCAGAUAUCAGGAGGAACACCGGUGGCGAAGGCGGGUCUCUGGGCAGUAACUGACGCUGAGGAGCGAAAGCGUGGGGAGCGAACAGG
rnacentral:rRNA from 1 species